GCCAAAUCUACAGUGCCCCAGAAGUGGCAAAAAGGAAACUUUUUUGUUUGCCUGCCAUCGUGAGGACUGAGUGAAGGAGGGAUUUUAGCAACAUGUAAUUUACUCUUGGGGCUUUUUACUGUACAUAGCUUUAGAGAUGGUAAUUUCUCCCUUUUUUGUUGUGAAAAGAUAACCAUCAAUCAGUUGUCAAUUGGUCAAUUGCAGAAGUGGUGAAAAGAAAGGGGUUGAACGAUCCCUUCUCUCUGGCUACCCUAGAGGAUUCAGGAGCCCUGGAAAAACAUGGCAGCUGGAGCAGAGCAGGGAGUGGAUCAGUCACACAGGUACAGCAGCCAUGUUGCUAAAGCGCAGAGCUGCCGGGCUGUGGGAGUCAUGAGGCGGCCCUGCUUCACACAAUAUGGGCUCUGGGCUUAGGGGGAGACCACCAUGGAUGUGUCUGCAGGUCUAGGCCCAAAGAGCAGUGCGGGGAAAAGGCUACUACUGGACUCAUACUACAUGGCAGGGUGACCCUCAUUCAACUCACAUCACAUAUGCAAGUUUCAUUCACCAUUUUCUUUGUAUAUGAUUUUGAAUUUCCAGGACAGUGUAGAUUUAUAUUUCUCCCAAAAUGUAUAUGAGGUGGUUGUGUGUGGAUACAUUCAUUUUUCUUCUUUAUUCAGGCUCCUAUGACAUCAUAUGUUUUUGUAAGAAAACUGAUAAUAUCUGUCAUUCGGUGUAACCUCAUAUAAAAAAGUACCCCAUGAAGUAACCUUUUUUUUUAUGUCAAUAGAUAUCUUC
rnacentral:lncRNA from 1 species